rnacentral:rRNA from 1 species
CCUACGGGGGGCUGCAGUGGGGAAUAUUGGACAAUGGGGGGAACCCUGAUCCAGCCAUGCCGCGUGUGGGAAGAAGGCCCUCGGGUUGUAAAGCACUUUCAGUGAGGAAGAACGCCUGGUGGUUAAUACCCAUCAGGAAAGACAUCACUCACAGAAGAAGCACCGGCUAACUCCGUGCCAGCAGCCGCGGUAAUACGGAGGGUGCGAGCGUUAAUCGGAAUUACUGGGCGUAAAGCGCGCGUAGGUGGCUUGAUAAGCCGGUUGUGAAAGCCCCGGGCUCAACCUGGGAACGGCAUCCGGAACUGUCAAGCUAGAGUGCAGGAGAGGAAGGUAGAAUUCCCGGUGUAGCGGUGAAAUGCGUAGAGAUCGGGAGGAAUACCAGUGGCGAAGGCGGCCUUCUGGACUGACACUGACACUGAGGUGCGAAAGCGUGGGUAGCAAACAGGAUUAGAUACCCCUGUAGUC